UACAGAGGGGGCAAGCGUUGUUCGGAAUUAUUGGGCGUAAAGGGCUCGUAGGCGGUUUGUCGCGUCGGGAGUGAAAACACCGGGCUUAACUCGGUGCUUGCUUUCGAUACGGGCAGACUUGAGGCAUGCAGGGGAGAACGGAAUUCCUGGUGUAGCGGUGGAAUGCGCAGAUAUCAGGAGGAACACCGGUGGCGAAGGCGGGUCUCUGGGCAGUAACUGACGCUGAGGAGCGAAAGCGUGGGGAGCGAACAGG
rnacentral:rRNA from 1 species